AAUUUUUGACAAUGGGGGUAACCCUGAUCCAGCCAUCCCGCGUGUAUGAUGAAGGCCUUCGGGAUGUAAAGUACUUUUGGCAGAGAAGAAAAGGUAUCUCCUAAUACGAGAUACUGCUGACGGUAUCUGCAGAAUAAGCACCGGCCAACUACGUGCCUGCAACCGCGGUAAUACGUUGGGUGCAAGCGUUAACCGGAAUUACUGGGCGUAAAGCGUGUGUAGGCGGUGCGGGAAGAAAGAUGUGAAAUCCCAGGGCUCAACCUUGGAACUGCAUUUUUAACUGCCGAGCUAGAGUAUGUCAGAGGGGGGUAGAAUUCCACGUGUAGCAGUGAAAUGCGUAGAUAUGUGGAGGAAUACCGAUGGCGAAGGCAGCCCCCUGGGAUAAUACUGACGCUCAGACACGAAAGCGUGGGGAGCAAACAG
rnacentral:rRNA from 1 species